UACACUAUAGUUGAGUGGUAGUUAAGGUUAUGUGGCGAGUAUUUUCGUAAUAGAAUUGAGUGUUAAGAUGCGUUUGGACGAUGUUGUUUCUAACGUACAUAAUUACAUUAGCGAUUGUAUGUGAUUGUUACGUUACGUAAUCUUGUGUUAAUACGUAAGAUUAUAGUCUCGUGCGUACCGAUGAAAGUUGGAUGUGUUCGGGCGGCAAAUUUGAUGUUAUAAUGAAGUUACGGUGCUGGUGUUCAGUAAUUUUGAUGUAUGACUGCAAGAAAUCUAACAUACAUUACGUUUGUGUUAAGAGAAGUAUUCAGAUGGAAUUGAGCAUUCUCCAAAAUUGACAAAGUUUUCAAAAUAGUAAUACAUAACCAUGGGGAAAUCUGAUAGAAAGAAGUACGAUAAAUACAAGGACAAAAAGUAUUAUUGUUCAAAGGAAAAGAGACGGUCAACAAGUGAUUCCUCAUCAGAGUCAGAUGAUCAUACCGAAAGCCAUCGCAGUAGGUCAAGAGCACAUAAGCAUCAGCAUCAUCGUUCUAGAUCACCAGUAGAGAAGAAGCUUGAGAUCCAGUCCGUAGACUCUUAUGAAACAAGGCAUGUUUCAAAAGACAAAAGAGUAGCUGGGGAGAGAGAUAGGAAAAGGCAGACUAUUUAUGAUGAUAUCUGUAAAGACGAAUCUCAGAAGAAGUCAUGUCAUAGCAGGGAUGAAGCUGAUCAGGUUGAAUUCAGCUUCCAGAGGUAUAGCUACGAACUGAAAGUUUUCCUUAGAGAUGAAGAUUUAGUACCAGACCCAGAAGAUUUCUUAAAAUUCUUGAAAAAUUAUGAAACUGUUCAAAAGAGAGCAGGAGGAAGGAAACAUAAUUUAGCGUCUGCUGAAACAAAUACUGAUGCUAAUCCACUGGAUAUACCUUUGGUAUAUGACAAGUCUCACCUAGUUAGCAUUGCCCUCACAGCAAGCCUGGAACAAUUGGCAUCCCGGUUACCACCAGGCAGUCACUUAUCUCAACAUCAGUUGUCAGAAUUUCGAGAUAUUCUGUUGCUGUACUUAGACUUUAAACAGAAAGAAAAGUUUACCAAGCUUCGUAAACUACGUCAGAGUCAAAGAAAUUUGCCUAUUGCCCAAUACAAAAAGCAGAUUGUAACAGCAGUAAGAAAUGAGAAUGUAUUAAUAAUAGCUGGGGAUACAGGCUGUGGGAAAUCUACUCAGGUGCCACAGUAUCUUCUGGAAGCUGGCUAUAAAAGAAUUGCAUGCACCCAGCCACGUCGAAUUGCCUGCAUCUCUUUAUGCAAACGUGUUGCAUUUGAGACACUGAAUGAGUAUGGUUCAGAAGUGGGCUACCAGAUUCGUUUUGAGAAAAGCAAAACUCAGCAUACAAGAAUUGUAUUUAUUACUGAGGGUCUGCUUCUGAGACAGGUGUCUACAGAUCCCACUCUUUCUAAUUAUGAUGUACUGGUACUGGAUGAAGUACAUGAACGCCACCUGUUUGGUGACUUUCUCCUUGGUAUUGUUAAAUGUCUGCUUUAUCAGCGCUCUGACCUCAAAGUGAUUCUGAUGUCUGCAACUAUAAACAUAGAACUCUUUCAAGAUUACUUCUCAGAAGCUGUUACAAUAAUACAAGUUCCUGGACGGUUGUACCCUAUCAAACUGCAGUACAUGCCAGUUUCAACAGAGGAGAAGUUAUCAAAAUCUGAGCGAUUGAAUCCAGCUCCAUAUGUGCGCAUCAUGCAGCUUAUUGAUGAGAAAUAUCCACGAAACGAGAAGGGUGACUUACUUAUCUUCUUGUCUGGGAUGAGUGAAAUCUCUUCAGUAGUAGAGGCUGCAAAAUGUUACUCACAGAAGACUCAAGGCUGGAUUGUUCUUCCACUCCACAGUACCCUUUCUUUGGUAGAUCAAGAUAAGGUGUUUGACUACCCACCGGAAGGAGUUCGUAAGUGUAUAGUAUCAACAAAUAUAGCUGAAACUUCUGUCACAAUUGAUGGUAUUCGCUUUGUCGUUGAUUCAGGAAAAGUGAAAGAGAUGAGCUAUGACCCAGUCUGCAAAAUGCAGAAACUCAAAGAAUUCUGGAUCAGCCAGGCGAGUGCAGAGCAGCGAAAAGGGAGGGCAGGCCGUACGGGUCCUGGUGUUUGCUACCGUUUAUUCUCUGAGGAAGAAUAUGCAAAAAUGGACCAAUACUCAACACCUGAGAUCCAGCGAGUGCCUCUUGAUUCUCUCCUACUUCAAAUGGUUGCUAUGGGGCUUCCAGAUGCUCGAAAGUUCCCCUUCAUUGAACCACCACCUCCUGAAAGUAUUGAAAAUUCCAUUUUGUCUUUAAAGGAACAGGGUGCUCUGACUGAGAAUGAAAAACUAACAACAAUAGGCCACAUGCUGUCUCGCUUGCCAGUGGAUAUCUCCCUGGGAAAGAUGCUUAUCAUGGGAUCUCUUUUCCAUCAGGUGGAACCAGUAUUAUCCAUGGCUUCAGCCCUUAGUGUACAGACUCCUUUUACAAACAGGUCCUAUAGAAAUUUUGAUUGUGAGGCAGCUUGUAAAGAAUUGCAGUCUGAUCAUGGUGACCCAUUAACGCUGCUAAAUGCCUUUCGUGAAUGGUUAGAAGAAAAAUCUAAAUCAUCAAGUGGGAGAUCAUCAUCUCGACAGUGGUGUCAUCGUAGAGGUCUUGAGGAGCACCGCUUCUAUGAAAUGAUUAAACUGCGGAGACAGUUCAAAGAUCUGUUGCAGGACUCAGGGCUCCUACAAAGUGAAGCUUUGCCAAAUGAGAACAUGACAAGUGCUGAGCGCUCGUUUCGUCAUGGAGAAGUGAAACUGUUGCGUUCAAUGCGUCAGUCAUACAAAGAGGCUAGGCCUCGAAAGAAACGAGUUCUGAAGCUAGAUGCGUGGGAAGUAGAAGGUGCAGAAGUUGAAGAACCUGGUGAUAUUGAUAUCAAGGAUGUCGAGUUUAGGCUGAGCAAUAAUAGCCUCCAAGUGCAGAAUCUCCUCUCAGGAUCUACUGCUUGCAGUUACAAGGACCUUAUGAUGCUAAAACUUAUCCUUUGUAGUGGACUGUAUCCCCAACUGGCCAUUGCUGAUGAGUUCAAUUACUGCAAGUCUGUUUCAGAGCAAUUGUUCCAUACUGUGUCAAAGCCAUAUGUAUCUCUGCAUCCAAUGGGAUAUUUUGGAAAUCACCCACAAAUUCUUCAGCUUCAGGAAUCAGAUAUUGAAGUGAUACAGAAGAGGAGGUUUAAUUCGAAGUCACCAGUUAGUUCCAAACAUCAGCUGCUAUGCUAUUUGUCACUGCUGGAGACGACAAAACCCUUCCUGGUGACUACAAUGCGAAUGCCAGCUGCUCAGACUUUGCUUCUCUUCUCUCAGUCUAUAGACACUAACUGUGAUUUCUCCAAGUUAGUAUGUGACUCCUGGCUGCAACUGGAAUUCUUGUUACCUGAUGCUGCUAUGUUGCUGCUACUAAAAGCUGCUCUAUUGCGCAACAAAUGGGAACAGCUGCUUAAUCUGCGUCUUGAAGCCACUUCACCCAGUGUUAACAAUAAAGAGAAGUUGUCAGCAGCAGCCAAGAAGUUGGAACAAGAACUUUCAAGUGAUCUGCCACAGUUCAUGCAUACUGAGAUUGUCUACACAUUGCGAAGACUGCUGCCUGCUGACCUUAAAGUUAUGUACGUUGGUCCUGGGGAAAAUGAAGACCUCAUUACCCCUAAUCCAUUCUCUUCAGAUUGGGAAUGUACACCACAUCCAAAGAAAGGGGGAGUUCGGGUUACUCCAUAUAUCACAUUCAACUGUGUCAAUGUAUUUCGUUCCCAUCUGGAUGGCUAUGAUGAUGGUUCUGAGAAUGAGUGGAAUUGUCCACAUUGUGGCCUAGACAUGAACCUUGACUCGAUACAGAAGCUCCAACACAUGGAGACAUGCAAGCCAUCUCAAAAUGAGCAAGGAGCAGAUGAAGAGGAAACAGUUACAAGGAAGCCCAAUUCCCUGGCUUAUCAAUGUGCACAGUGCGACAGAACUUUGUAUCUCACACCAACAGAAAUCUUGCGACACAAGAAGCAACAUCAAUAACAACAAGAAAGUUUCUUCCUCCAAGUUCUUGCAGUAUUUGUCAGGGCCAUUGGUGUUCCCACUGUUUCAGUCAGAGUUCUUCAUCCCACCUCCUUUUCCAAUAUCACACACCAUUUUGCCUCCUUGGCUUACUCUUCUACCAUGAAUAUGGAGGCAGCAGAUUCAUCUGAAAUGUUGGUACCUAUCUACUGUCAGAAGACUGCAAGGUUAUUGGGUUUACUGAGGAGACUGAUAAUUUGGGAGCAUGAAGGAAAUGUUACGAUUUCUGAGGUGUGGGUGCAGCACUGGAUGAGUGAAAGACAGUUUAUUGAAGCGGAACAAUAAGUUAAGCUUGUGAAGGAGUUUAUGCCUAAGAAUUUUAUUAAGUAAAGGGCUGUUUAUCUUCAAAGUCUGCCACUGGAAAAGAGGUCGUAAUUCAUCUCUCCACUUUCCUAUGGGGAGGUAAAUAUCUCGGGCAACUGCUCCUUCAUUCAAGAUGGGAGCAACAAGCAAA